GUUUCUGUGGUGUAGUGGUUAUCACGUUUGCUUCACACGUCAAAUGGUCCCCGGUUCGAAACCGGGCGGAAACA